GAUGGAAUCCUGCACAGCUAGAGUAGGUCUUGAGGCUGAGAAACUUCUAGUAACAUUAUUGAGCUUUGUGGUCAUGGAGGGCCUCAGCCAAGCCUUGCUUGCAAAGCAUGGCUCUCUCUACUGGCUGAGACUUAGCAUUUUCAAUAGGCAACUUUCUGAUCAAACUUGGGAUGUGGCCAGUUUUCAGUACAACUUCAACCACUCUCUUUGUAGCAGGGAGUGUCUGUUCAGGAGCUGCAGACCCUGCAGUAUCACCCAGCCACCUCUGCUGCCCACCCUGAGGGACAAUGGGACAGCUCAGGGAUUGAUGGCCCAGCAGAAGCUGUUCCUGUGCCUCGGUAAACAAGAGAACUGAGCCUGCAUGGAGCCACUGCUGCCAUGCCUGUGCUCCCACCCUGCUGCC